UAGGGUGUGGCCAGGUGGUAAGGCAACGGGUUUUGGUCCUGUUAUGUGGAGGUUCGAAUCCUUCCGUCCCAC
rnacentral:tRNA from 1 species